GGAUAACACUCCCAUUCUCCUGGAUGGGGGUUAAAAGCUCCGGCGGUGAAGGAUGAGCCCGCGGCCUAUCAGCUUGUUGGUGAGGUAAUGGCUCACCAAGGCGACGACGGGUAGCCGGCCUGAGAGGGCGACCGGCCACACUGGGACUGAGACACGGCCCAGACUCCUACGGGAGGCAGCAGUGGGGAAUAUUGCACAAUGGGCGAAAGCCUGAUGCAGCGACGCCGCGUGAGGGAUGACGGCCUUCGGGUUGUAAACCUCUUUCAGCAGGGAAGAAGCGAAAGUGACGGUACCUGCAGAAGAAGCGCCGGCUAACUACGUGCCAGCAGCCGCGGUAAUACGUAGGGCGCAAGCGUUGUCCGGAAUUAUUGGGCGUAAAGAGCUCGUAGGCGGCUUGUCA
rnacentral:rRNA from 1 species